rfam:Cicer arietinum chromosome Ca1, whole genome shotgun sequence.
AAGCAUGAUUGGGGCAUCCUGUUAAUAAUCUCUUGAACCUCCUGUAAGUGUCACAAAGGGAUUCUCCUUCUUUUUGUUUGUAACCGAAAAUCUCUUGUCUUUUUCU